rnacentral:rRNA from 1 species
UAUUACUGAAUUUGAAAUCGGAGGUUUGUUGCUGGCGUGGAAACACGUAUGUGCACGGCCUUCGUGCUCAUCCACUCACCCUUGUGCACCUUAUCGAAGUUAGUAAUACUUUUCUAUCGGGCUGUAAUUGGGCUGCUGGUAUUAUUAGUCGCAGGGCGAAAAUGCUAGUGCUCUUGGUCUGAGGGGAAGGGACGAACACUUUGACUUUAUAAACACAUACUUUGUCUUGUAGAAUGUAAUGCUCCUUGUGGGCGAAAUGAAAUACAACUUUCAACAACGGAUCUCUUGGCUCUCGCAUCGAUGAAGAACGCAGCGAAAUGCGAUAAGUAAUGUGAAUUGCAGAAUUCAGUGAAUCAUCGAAUCUUUGAACGCACCUUGCGCCCCUUGGUUUUCCGAGGGGCAUGCCUGUUUGAGUGUCAUGUUUAUCUCAAUCUCCUUGUCUUCUUAAUUGAAGUCUCGGGGCUUGGAUCUGGAGGCCUUGCUGGCAGUUAUGUCGGCUCCUCUUAAAUACAUUAGCUGGACUUUGGUUCGCGUUACUGGUGUAAUAGAUUUAUGUUCGCCAGACGCUUGCCUAAUGGGUUUGCUUCUAAUCGUCUUCGGACAAGGUCUUUGACCUUCUUGACACCUUUGACCUCAAAUCAGGAGGACA